GGGGAUAACUCAGUGGUAGAGCAUAUGCUCAGCAUGCAUGAGGUCCUGGGUUCAAUCCCCAGUCCAGCCA
rnacentral:tRNA from 1 species